UAUAACCCCAGUGGGUGUGCCUUUAAUGUUGCAUGUGGCAACACACGUGUUGCACAGAGGAGCAGUAAUAAACUCAAUUCCUCACACAGGAGGAAGUAGAUAUUUUCGUAAGUGAAUUCUAAGCGUGUUAUCUCUAAAUCUACGGUGAAGACACCAAUCCCCUAGUUCCCGACAGAGGACGGGGAUGACCUUGUUAACAUUUCCGGAGUAAUUAAUUAAUCCACAUGAGUGCUGAAUCUCUGCCGAUUCCUGCCAGCACACAGCCUAUUGCCUCAAAUCUCUCUCUCAGAAUGCAACUUGAGUUGGGUGAUCGUGAGAUGUCUUGUGGGAUUGUGCUUCUGAUCUCCCUGGCGACAGCCUGAACCCGCAACCCUGAUUGGGCCCAGAUGGACUUUGGAACCUUCACUGUGGUUCUCACUUCAAAAAGCCCCCGGUGCCCUCAGAAGUCUCACCCAACAUUUUCUGUCUGUGUCAUUUCUCUCAGCCCAUAUGUGAAUGUAUAAUCUUUGACUGUUGGACUGCUUGAAUGCGUGAGUACAAUGGUAUAGUGUAAUUUAUAUAUGUAUCACUGUUGAAAGAUGCUUUUUUUUUACACCUUUGAGAAUAAUUGUUGAACGCAGAAUAUCUACAUCUUGCAUUGUACAUUUUGGCAACACAUGCUAGAGACUCUUUAAAAUGUGUUUUAAAGAAUACCAAUGAAAAGCCCUCUCUCAUAUGGUAAUAUUAGCUUUUUAUAGGAA